rnacentral:rRNA from 1 species
GACAGAGGUGCCGAGCGUUAGGCGGAAUCACUGGGCUUAAAGCGUGUGUAGGCGGAUCUGUAAGUACCUUGUGAAAUCCCACGGCUCAACCGUGGAACUGCUUGGUAUACUGCGGGUCUUGAGCCACCUAGGGGCAAGUGGAACAAACGGUGGAGCGGUGAAAUGCGCAGAUAUCGGGAAGAACACCCGUGGCGAAGGCGGCUCUCUGGGACGGUACUGACGCUGAGACGCGAAAGCGUGGGGAGCGAACAGG